AGUCGAGGGGUAUAGUAGCAAUACUAGAGACCGGCGCACGGGUGCGUAACGCGUAUGCAAUCUACCUUUUACAGAGGGAUAGCCCAGAGAAAUUUGGAUUAAUACCUCAUAGCAUAGCAGCUUCGCAUGAAGCCACUAUUAAAGUCACAACGGUAAAAGAUGAGCAUGCGUCCCAUUAGCUAGUUGGUAAGGUAACGGCUUACCAAGGCAACGAUGGGUAGGGGUCCUGAGAGGGAGAUCCCCCACACUGGUACUGAGACACGGACCAGACUCCUACGGGAGGCAGCAGUGAGGAAUAUUGGACAAUGGGCGCAAGCCUGAUCCAGCCAUGCCGCGUGCAGGAUGACGGUCCUAUGGAUUGUAAACUGCUUUUGCACAGGAAGAAACAACAUUACGUGUAAUGUCUUGACGGUACUGUGAGAAUAAGGAUCGGCUAACUCCGUGCCAGCAGCCGCGGUAAUACGGAGGAUCCAAGCGUUAUCCGGAAUCAUUGGGUUUAAAGGGUCCGUAGGCGGUUUAGUAAGUCAGUGGUGAAAGCCCAUCGCUCAACGGUGGAACGGCCAUUGAUACUGCUAGACUUGAAUUAUUAGGAAGUAACUAGAAUAUGUAGUGUAGCGGUGAAAUGCUUAGAGAUUACAUGGAAUACCAAUUGCGAAGGCAGGUUACUACUAAUGGAUUGACGCUGAUGGACGAAAGCGUGGGUAGCGAACAGGAUUAGAUACCCUGGUAGUCCACGCCGUAAACGAUGGAUACUAGCUGUUGGGAGCAAUCUCAGUGGCUAAGCGAAAGUGAUAAGUAUCCCACCUGGGGAGUACGUUCGCAAGAAUGAAACUCAAAGGAAUUGACGGGGGCCCGCACAAGCGGUGGAGCAUGUGGUUUAAUUCGAUGAUACGCGA
rnacentral:rRNA from 1 species